rnacentral:rRNA from 1 species
CCUACGGGUGGCAGCAGUGGGGAAUAUUGCACAAUGGGGGAAACCCUGAUGCAGCGACGCCGCGUGAGCGAUUAAGUAUUUCGGUAUGUAAAGCUCUAUCAGCAGGGCAGAAAAUGACGGUACCUGACUAAGAAGCCCCGGCUAACUACGUGCCAGCAGCCGCGGUAACACGUAGGGGGCAAGCGUUAGCCGGAUUUACUGGGGGUAAAGGGAGCGUAGGCGGCUUGGCAAGGCAGAUGUGAAAGGCGGGGGCUCAACCCCCGGACUGCAUUUGAAACUGUCAUGCUGGAGUGCAGGAGAGGCAAGCGGAAUGCCUAGUGUAGCGGUGAAAUGCGUAGAUAUUAGGAGGAACACCAGUGGCGAAGGCG